AGGGUGGCGGGAGAGCGCCGGACGGGGCGGGGGCCUGCGGGCCUCCUCCGCGCCCACCGCUCCGGGCGGCAAGGCGGCCGCUGAGCCCUGCGGUGUAGCGGACGCGUGCGGCGGGGGCCGGGUGAGGGGCGCUUCCGUGGGCGGGGCGGACCCGGCCCCGCCCCGCCCCCUCGGGCCGCUCCUCCCGAGCUGCGCGCCGGCGCCCCCUGGCGGCCGGGCGGCGCUGUCUUUGCCCGGCGCGGGGCCUGCGCGGCCGCGCUCGCUAGGUCGGUUGGGACGGUGUCCCGAGGAACGGGCCGCAGCGCGGCUGCCGCUCGGCGCCUCCCUCGGGGCCGCCUGCGCCCCCGGCUCCUCCCUACCGGUCAGCAGCAAAGCGGGAGCGAGGGGCUGCCCCGGCUGCCGAGCCCCUCCCAGGUAAGGGAGGCCUCAUGCCACAGUAAUACCAGUGCUGAAAGAGGCGCCGACGGCGUUUGAAGGACAAAUUUGUCUCAGCCUGGAUUCGGCCCGACCAAGCCCCCUACGGGGCUGCACUGUGUUCUGUGCUCCCGUGCUUUUUUGUUGAUUCCUCUCCAAAACUAAGAUGUUGAGAAGAGCUGACCUGGACAAAGCUUUUUCUGUUACCAUGGAAUGGUUGAGGUUGGAAGGAAUCUCUGGAAGUCACCUUGUCCAACCCCCUGCUCAAGGAGAGCCACCUAGCAGGUUCCCUUAGCCUUUGACAGAGACUUUGCUGCAGCUGAAAUAAAAUGAAGGUGCUUGGAAUAGAGUAUCAGAUUCCAGGAACAUUAGUCAAAACUGCAAAACUGAAAGCAAGAUUCUGCGAAGAAAAUUAAGUUUCAUAUUUGUAUCCUCUGAAUUCUGGUUCCUCUGUUUACUAUUUUGAGCAAAGGGUGAAUAGAAUAUCUAACUCCAUGGGAGCCACCAUCAUAUUUCUAAAAAUGAAUUUGCAUAAAGAGAAAAAAGUAUACCUUGCAUCUUGGUAGGUGUUGCAAUUAAUUUGACCCUGGUAACUCACGAGAAUGCAGUCAAACUGACAGGAGACUACUAUUUCAGGCACUGCUUUGCUAGGAAUGGGAACAUUUCUAAUAUUCUAGAUCAUUUGUGUUUUGUAUAUGUCAGAGUUCUGAUUUUCAGAUUGAUUAAAUUGUUUAAAGUGCUUUGAUUCACCUUAAUGGCCUUUCUGAAUGUAAUAUUUAAUUUUGAAUGGAAGUUAGUAGAAUUUUAUAAAAAUGAGCAGUCAUGACUUUACACCACAGUGUGUGGUAUUAAUUAGCAUCUGAUCGUUUGCCACACGUUGACAAUUUCCCGUCUGUCAUUAUAUGGUUUGCAUUUCAAUCUGAGUAAACUUUAGUAAUUGGGUUAAAAACUUCAUCUUGUUGGUUAGAAAAGAUGUUUACAGACUGAUUUAUUUCCCCCUCAUGCUUUGAAUGGAGAUAGGAUUAAUUAACCUGUUUAGUAAAUGGUAGUGGCACAAACAGGUGUUGCCAUGGUUGUAACUGAUGCAAUACCGUGUAGGAUUAGUGCUGGGUAAUGAAUAUAUCACUUGGCUGAAACUACUGUUUCGACUUUGCUCCUGUACCGAAGAAUAAGGUUAUAUGCAACAAACACAGCAAACUAGAUUAUUUUGUCUUUAUGAUUCCUGCUGCAAAAGAAGAAUAAUAUUACCACUGCAUAAUCUUUUCUCCCUAUGUGUUAGAAAGGGUUUGUUCUGUGUAAGGAGAUGAUGGUAGGACAUUGGUGCUGAAACGUGCCAGGUCAUUAUCACCUUUCCCACAGAGAUGUUGAAAACUCAGUUACAGGAUGCUAGAAGAGUGGGCAAUUGACUAUUUAUUUAUCUUCCUCACAGAGUACCUGUGUGGUUCGAAUAUCUAUUUCUAAAUAUUCAUGAUGCAAUGUUUCUGCUAAAAAGCAACUUUUGCACUUUUAUGCAAAGCUUCAAGGCUCUAAGUGUUGUGGCAGUUGGCAUUGUCUCAGGUUGUAACUUUGAUUACUCGAGGGCUACGUUCGAUGUAAUUUUUUUGUACGUAGCACAUGGGUCCAGAAGGGAGUGCAGGGGGGAAGAGAGAAUUCUCGAGAUGAGAAAGGGUGGAGAGUGGGCCACUGAUAUCUUCCAUGCUGGUACCUAACCUCUGCAAGGUACAGGUUAGUAACUGCUACUUUUCAUAAGAAAUGGCAUGAGGGAAUGGAGAUGCUGCUAUGGAUGGUGGCAGGAACAUCAAAGAUUCCAGCGUCAUCCUUAAUGAGGGAUGAGGAAGAACAAGAACUAGAUUUGCAGGAGAAGACAUAAGGAAAUAAAUUAUUUUCUGCUUCAUUUCAGCAUCACAGUACCUUGUGAGUAAGGUCUGCUGUUCAAUACCUGCUUGAAGGUUUGUAGAUGUCACCCCGCUGCUAACUAAAGCACGUGAUGUCAAACCUGCUGUGCUCAGAAGAACGGCACGCUCUUAGCAGCUGGAUUCAUGCAUGCAGAGGCCAUUAAAAGACUUCAGAAGAGUCUUAGGGCCAUCUUACCGAGAUAGGAUAUUUUGUAUUUUCUUGUUAAUACUUUUCAUCUGUUAACUAUGGAAUGAUAUGUAAACUUAAUAUAUGCUCCUCUUAGGACUGUUACUUUUUCUGUCACCUACUUGCCCUUGUUUGCACACUGAAUAGUACAGGAGACUAUGAAAAUAAAAAAUAAGUAAACAAAUAGAAAGCCUUGCCCUACUGAUUUUUUCCUCACUGGUUAGGUGUCUGUCCCUGGGUGCUGGGAAGUCUCAAAAUGAACUCUUCACGACGGUUCCGUGCUUGACUCAGGGCUUAACUGUGGAAUGGCAUCUUGUGCUGCUCCAUAACAAGUAGUCAAGCAAAACUCUUGGGAAGGUAGAUAAACAGUUUUAAGAUCUAGCACUUACCAGCACCAGGAGGUCUUUCCCAAGAAGAAAUACUGAUGUUUAUGGUAACACACAAGAGGAUUUUAAAAGGUCAAAGAAUGUAUAGCAGCUGUAUGCAGCUUCCCUCCCACACAAACAAAACUGGAACUUUAUGUUAAUACUGACAAAAGCAGCAAUAUGUCAGUAGGUGUGUCACUGGUUUCUGCUCCCUGGCUUUCUGCUCUUCUGGUCCCUGGCUUUGCUGGAAGCAAAAAUAAAGAGACACAAAA